UAAGGAAUAUUGGUCAAUGGAGGCAACUCUGAACCAGCCAUGCCGCGUGCAGGAAGACUGCCCUAUGGGUUGUAAACUGCUUUUAUCUGGGAAUAAACCUAUUUACGUGUAGAUAGCUGAAUGUACCAGAAGAAUAAGGAUCGGCUAACUCCGUGCCAGCAGCCGCGGUAAUACGGAGGAUCCAAGCGUUAUCCGGAUUUAUUGGGUUUAAAGGGUGCGUAGGCGGCCUGUUAAGUCAGAGGUGAAAGACGGUAGCUCAACUAUCGCAGUGCCUUUGAUACUGAUGGGCUUGAAUGGACUAGAGGUAGGCGGAAUGAGACAAGUAGCGGUGAAAUGCAUAGAUAUGUCUCAGAACACCGAUUGCGAAGGCAGCUUACUAUGGUUUUAUUGACGCUGAGGCACGAAAGCGUGGGGAUCAAACA
rnacentral:rRNA from 1 species